CCGUCCGUGGGCAGCCGGGCGGCCAGCGAGUUCUCGUGCAGUUCGCCCGACGCGGUGAGGAAGGCGCCGACCGAGUCGGCGUGGUCGUGCCA
rnacentral:tRNA from 1 species